rnacentral:rRNA from 2 species
AAUCCAUAGGUUAAUGAGGCGAACCGGGGGAACUGAAACAUCUAAGUACCCCGAGGAAAAGAAAUCAACCGAGAUUCCCCCAGUAGCGGCGAGCGAACGGGGAGGAGCCCAGAGCCUGAAUCAGCAUGUGUGUUAGUGGAAGCGUCUGGAAAGGCGCGCGAUACAGGGUGACAGCCCCGUACACAAAAGCGCAUGUGCUGUGAGCUCGAUGAGUAGGGCGGGACACGUGGUAUCCUGUCUGAAUAUGGGGGGACCAUCCUCCAAGGCUAAAUACUCCUGACUGACCGAUAGUGAACCAGUACCGUGAGGGAAAGGCGAAAAGAACCCCGGCGAGGGGAGUGAAAAAGAACCUGAAACCGUGUACGUACAAGCAGUGGGAGCACAGGUUUACCUGUGUGACUGCGUACCUUUUGUAUAAUGGGUCAGC